rnacentral:lncRNA from 1 species
CAACAACAACACCCACAACAAAAACAACAACAACAACAACAACAACAACAACAACAACCACACCCACAACAACAACAACAACAACAACAACAACAUCAACAGCAACAACAACAACAACAACAACAACAACAACAAGAACAACAACAACGACGACGACAACAACAACAACGACAACAACAACAAUAACAACAACAACGACGACAACAGUGACAAC